rnacentral:rRNA from 1 species
CUAACAAGGAUUCCCUUAGUAACUGCGAGUGAACCGGGAUGAGCUCAAAUUUAAAAUCUGGCGGUUCUGCCGUCCGAGUUGUAAUCUGGAGAAGCGUUUUCCGCGUCAGACCGUGUACAAGUCUCUUGGAAUAGAGCGUCAUAGAGGGUGAGAAUCCCGUCCAUGACACGGACUCCUGGUGCUAUGUGAUACGCUCUCAAAGAGUCGAGUUGUUUGGGAAUGCAGCUCAAAAUGGGUGGUAAAUUCCAUCUAAAGCUAAAUAUUGGCGAGAGACCGAUAGCGAACAAGUACCGUGAGGGAAAGAUGAAAAGCACUUUGGAAAGAGAGUUAAACAGUACGUGAAAUUGUUGAAAGGGAAACGCUUGAAGUCAGUCGCGUCGUACGGAGCUCAGCCUUGCUUCUGCUUGGUGUAUUCUCUGUGUCGACGGGUCAACGUCAAUUUUGACCGAUGGAGAAGGGCUCAGGGAAUGUAGCGUCGUUUCGGCGACGUGUUAUAGCCCUGGGUCGUAUGCAUCGGCUGGGAUUGAGGACCGCAGCACGCCCUUGUGGCCGGGGGUUCGCCCUACGUUUCGUGCUUAGGAUGUUGGCAAAAUGGCUUUAAGCGACCCGUCUUGAAACACGGACCAAGGAGUCUAACAUGCCUGCGAGUGUUCGGGUGGAAAACCCUUGCGCGUAAUGAAAGUGAAAGUUGGGAUCCCUCGCAAGGGGGUGCACCGACGCCCGGCCCUGAAGUUCUCUGACGGUGCUGCGGUAGAGCAUGUAUGUUGGGACCCGAAAGAUGGUGAACUAUGCCUGAAUAGGGUGAAGCCAGAGGAAACUCUGGUGGAGGCUCGUAGCGAUUCUGACGUGCAAAUCGAUCGUCAAAUUUGGG